UUGUCUUGCAUGCUCUCGGUGAGUCCGGGAGCCUCCAGUAUGGUGCGAGGGACCAGAUCCUUCACCACAUUUCUCAGUUAGUCGAUUUUUGGAAUAUUGUGCAGAUUUAGCCUUAAAAUCCUCAGUAUCAUAGUGAGGCUUCCAGCUCUCCCAAAUAGAUUUUGGGAUAUUUUUUCGUUUCUCCUCAGAGGAUCUUGCUUCACAUAACAUACCCCUGUAUUGUAUUGAACAUUUUUUCAUAAAAUGAUCCUUUAUGGAACCUUCAGUUGUAAUAUUCCAAUGGAAUCGCUUAUGUUUAAGAAUAUAGAGAAAAAUAUCACAUAAAUUGAUAUAACAUAAAUUCUAAAUGAAUAUAAUACAUUAAUAAAAUGAUAGCAAAAUGGAAUUUAUGGGUAUAAUGAGUACAUGAAUAUUAUAUUAGAAGGAGACACAAUCAGGUAUCGAAAGGUGUACCAAAAAAAGUAUCAUAGGUGUUGAAAAAAGCUUGGAAAGGAGGGAAGUAUAUUGAAGAAGCUCGAAUGAACAUGGAUGAACUAGGAAAGGAUGGAUGCAUCUUAUCAAAAUGCUUCCAUGCAGGUGCUUCUGAACAGUGACGCAUCACACCUUCCUCAACUUCAUGUUCAGCGUGCCAUCGCAUGUGUGAAGCAGUUGCUGUGGAAGCAUACAUUCGUUGCAGUCGUGGAGUAAGAGGAAAGUAAUACAUCUGUUUGAAUGGUACAAGAUUUUUCUUCUGAAUAGAUCUUUGACUUGUAAGCUUAUACCUGGGAUGACUACAAAACUUGCAAUUUACAAGUUCACUAUCCUCUCCCCAGUAAAUCAUGCAGGCAUUGACACAAGUAUGAAUUUUUUCAACUGGCAUGUUCAUUCCCCUCAUUAACUUUUUAGUUUCAUAGAAAUUUUUUGGCAUCACAUUAUCAGGCGGAAUCAUCUCAUUCACAUAUUGACAAAUAUCAUCAAAACAUCUUUCAGAGAGGUGAUGUUCAGCCUUGAUAUGCAACAAACAAGCAACAACUGAUAAUUGAGAUGUACGGUUUUACUUUCGUAACAAAAUCAAUAGUUACAAAAAAAACCCAGGUAGUAUGGUUUACCUUAAACUCCUCCCAGUAGAAGUCCUUAAUCUCUGGUGUAACUGACUUCC
rnacentral:lncRNA from 1 species